rnacentral:misc_RNA from 1 species
GAAGAGGAUAAUGAGAAGUUCUUGCUGAAGCUCAAGAACCGCAUUGACAGAGUUGGAAUUAAGCUUCCAACCAUUGAAGUCCGAUUUGAGCACCUCAAUGUUAGAGCACAGGCUUAUACAGGAAGCAGAGCUUUGCCUUCACUUGCCAACUUCUGUCUGAACAUGCUAGAGGGUUUCUUGAGUUAUCUUCAUAUCAUUCCAAGCACAAGGGUAGACCUGCCAGUCCUUAAAGAUAUUAGUGGAAUCAUCAAGCCAUCAAGAAUGACA